AUUGAACGCUGGCGGCAGGCUUAACACAUGCAAGUCGAACGAGUGGCGGACGGGUGAGUAAUGCUUGGGAAUCUAGCUUAUGGAGGGGGAUAACUACGGGAAACGGUAGCUAAUACCGCGUACGAUAGGAUGAGCCCAAGUGGGAUUAGGUAGGUGGUGAGGUAAGGGCUCACCAAGGCGACGAUCCCUAGCUGGUCUGAGAGGAUGACCAGCCACACUGGGGCGGUGACACGGCCCAGACUCCUACGGGAGGCAGCGAUGGGGGAUAUUGCACAAUGGGAGCAACCCCGAUGCAGCCAUGCCGCGUGAGUGAAGAAGGCCUUCGGGUUGUAAAGUACUUUCAGUAACGAGGCGUUAACUGCAGAAGAAGCACCGGCUAACUCCGUGCCAGCCGCCGCGGUAAUUC
rnacentral:rRNA from 1 species